GAUGAACGCUGGCGGCGUGCCUAAUACAUGCAAGUCGAGCGAACAGACGAGGAGCUUGCUCCUCUGACGUUAGCGGCGGACGGGUGAGUAACACGUGGAUAACCUACCUAUAAGACUGGGAUAACUUCGGGAAACCGGAGCUAAUACCGGAUAAUAUAUUGAACCGCAUGGUUCAAUAGUGAAAGACGGUUUUGCUGUCACUUAUAGAUGGAUCCGCGCCGCAUUAGCUAGUUGGUAAGGUAACGGCUUACCAAGGCGACGAUGCGUAGCCGACCUGAGAGGGUGAUCGGCCACACUGGAACUGAGACACGGUCCAGACUCCUACGGGAGGCAGCAGUAGGGAAUCUUCCGCAAUGGGCGAAAGCCUGACGGAGCAACGCCGCGUGAGUGAUGAAGGUCUUCGGAUCGUAAAACUCUGUUAUUAGGGAAGAAAAAAUGUGUAAGUAACUAUGCACGUCUUGACGGUACCUAAUCAGAAAGCCACGGCUAACUACGUG
rnacentral:rRNA from 1 species